UGACAUAGCAUUUCUUCUUUAUUUACUGUGAUUUUUUUUUUAUAUAGCAUUACAGAUAGUCAAAGACCUCACUCCGACUUUCAAAGAACUAGCACUAGCAGUAGAAGACAUUUUUGCUAGUUUCCAAGAGCGUAAAUGUCCUAAUCAGAAAGGUUCCAAUUGUG